CUUUGGGUAAAAGUUGUUUAAUAAGAUCCCUGCUAAUGUUAGGAGCUUGUUCCAGGCGCAGUUUGCUGAGGAUUUGAAUCUUUAUGGCUUCUAUUCUGGAAGAUUUUGUAUUCUGUCUCCACGUACAAGCAUUGCAUAGUCCAUCUUUUUCGGAGUUCUCUGUGGGCUGACUCCCGUCAUCAAGAGCCAAGGGAUGAACUGAAAUCAGCAUGCACAGGGCAUGCAAAUUCAUUGCAUAAUGCAGAACUGAGCCUAAUAUUCAGCUCAUGACUAGUGACGUAAAUGGACCAAAGUCCUCUCCUGUAAGCCUGAAACCCCAGUGAGCUCCGAGCAAGAGCUGAGCGUGCGUGCUCUCAGCCACCGAGGUGACACGUGGUGGCAAACAGACCCUGCUGAGCCCUGUGCCUCUGCUCGCUAUUUAGAGGAAAACCACGAUCUUCAGAGAUUUGGGGUCUUGGCUGCCCUCCCCCAAGGUGUACAUAGGUCUGUGUCUGCAGUUUGAGUACCAGCACAAAACAUGACUCUGUCUGGUGGAUGAUUUCCUCAACUCAGGAGCUACAGGAGACAGCAGUGAGUCCCACCUGCCUCUCAUGAGCCAUGGGUUACUCCAUGAGGAGUUUGGUUUAGGAUGGAGUAAUCAACGAUAUUCUGCAAAUGUCUACAAUAUUUCAGGCAAGUGCUGUGGAGAGGGUAAGGACGGUCUCCACUGAGGAGGAGGCGAGUGCCCGGCUGCCCGGGCUGUAUGGCUGAAGCCACGUGUCCACCCUGUCUCUCACGCACAACUUCUCAGACCCACUCCUAACCUUCUGCCCAACACGAUCUCCAGUUUGACAUAUAGACAAAAUAUAGCUGUCACUUUCCCCAGAGCUCCUGGGGAGUUUUUAUUGCCGCUGUUUCAGUUUUCCUUCGUGAUGAACAUGCAGUGCUGCUUUGGUGAUGCAGUGCUCAGCUUCUACACACAACGCAGAAGGAGCCAUCCUUUAGAAAGUGUUUGUUAGUUUCAAUAUUCAACCUCCUCCCACUGUAAGAAAUUCCUACUGUUCUAGAAAAUUGUCAUAUUGAAUGAGAGUUAAUAGUCAGCAUCAGUUUUAAAGAUUUCUUGGCUGCUUCUGAAUUCCUCAGGUGUCAUUGCUCUGCCUUUAUUUGAAGACACUGACUACCCUGCUUUUGGGGAGCAAGGUAAUUUAGAGAGACCCAGGGAGUCAGCACCACUCACCGUUGUAGGGGACAAAACCUGGAAAGCCCCAAGAGCACUGGGAAAACAUUAGGCUUUUAUAAUAAUCUUUGCACUUCAGAGCAACCCAGGAAAAUCUAGUAUGGUGAAACUACUUCACAUCAGUCACUAGAAAAUUACUAAAAAAUCAAGACUUUUCUAAGUUUUUCAGCUCAAACCCAAAUUUUCUUCUACUUAACACUUCUAAAGCAUAUGGUGCAUAUAAAAUGAGGCUUUAUAUUACAAAAGCAUCUCAAUUUUGUGAAGGAAGGAAAGAUACUUUUGUUUCUGGUGUGACUAAUAAUCCAAAUGUCAGUCCAGUUCUUCCUGCUAGACAUACAAUGUUCUGUACUGUGUCCUCCUAAAGGUUUUUUCCUCUCUAUCCUCAGGCCAGACUCUGGUCCUGCUUUUAUCUCACUACAUGUAAGCUAUGACGAAAGUGUCUUUUUGUAUUGUAACAGCGCUACGGAAGAUGUAAUGUAUGUUGGAUAGCAAUGUUUUUCUGUAUUUAAUAUUUACUGUUUUAUUAAUGUUUCUUGGGAAAUCUGCUAAACAAAGCUGUAAGACAGGAGAGGUACAAAAAUGAUAAAGAAUGGACAAGAGGAGAUUUAUUACAAACAGGCAUCAGGUUUCUGACUGAAAACCAGAAAUAAGGAAAGCAUUUCAGGCCCUACCUUGCAGAAAGCAGAGGACAAAAGCUUCCAUGGGCUCUCUCUGACUUAAUGCCUCCUUGUAAACUUCGUCUUGUCUGUUCUACAAAAAAACUAAACAUAUUUUCUUGUAACACUAUUUCAAUGAGAUGUGGUAUGAUGUAAGUUCUUGAAAACAUUACAGGUUUUAUCAAACUAUCAAGACCCAUUUUGUGAAUUAACUUUUGUUUUAAAGAUUCCUAAAAUUUCCCAAAUAGACUUCCACUACAAACUUUCUGUUAAUUUCUGGAUUAAUGGCUAACACACAUUGAAACAAAGGCAUCUAACAACUAUUACACUCAGUUGGCUAAACAUCUGUGCUGUAUAUAAAUUUGUAAUUUAUUUUCUAACUCCUCUUCUGGUUUCCUCUUUUUUAUUGCUGAUAAGUAUAGUUGUUCUAUGGGAGAAAAUAAUUAAUACCCGCACAUUCUAUCUCAUUUUAUUUGGGCAGAGUGCCUUUAUAGUGUAACAUAUUGUUGUAAUUAUCUUUUUAGCACAUUAGUAAGCAUCUAGGCAAGCUCUAAGUAAAUAUUGUUGUUUCCUCAUGGAAAAUGUUGUGAAAAUGGAGGCUUAAGUAGUUCCAAAUGUCUUCACACAGGUGUUGGUGACUGGAUGAAAUGAAUUACUGCAAAUCAGCCCUUAUAUGCUGAAAGACUGCAGCACAUGCUGAAGCGUAAGUACAUGAGUAAAACUGAGCACGUGCUUCAAGUUCUGCUGUUAAAUGUGGCUUUUCACCCAGUUUUUGGAAAAAAAUGGGUCUUUCCCCAAAUAUCUCAUUGCAAUUAUGAUGAAGAUUGACGAUAAGAGUCAGCUAUUUUCACACAGUGCUGGGGAUUCAUUAAUGUGUACAAAGUUGAGUGAAUAUAUGGAUGGUUCAUGUUGUUUGUUCUCCUUUGAGCUAUAGCAGUGUAUGCACAUCCAAGUUAAAAAUAAUAAUAAUAAUGAGUUAAACAUAUUUUAAAUAUUCAGGAUACCUUUAUACAAGAAAGCUGAACAAGGGUUUACCUUUAUAUUCUAAACUUGGUUAAAAACUAUCAAACCCUUUUUUGAGAGUGGGAGGAUGGGAUGUUCCAAAAAUAAUUGUGAUCUAGAAAUCAAUGUUGUGCCCUAAGGUUUGGAGCAAAUGUGCAAUCGCCCUGCAAUGUACUUUUAUAGUACGAGAGUUGAAAACUAGGGCAGCCCUCAGUGAUUUCUGUGGCCUAUGCUGCUUGGGGAUACUCUAAUUGUACUUGUCCAUCCUUUUAAUCCAUCUAGUUGUAGACAUCAAGGAAAUAUUUUAAGACAACUAUGAGCUCUGAGAAAAGGCUUUUGUAAAUCUCAGUUGUGCACAGAAUACAAGAGCAAUGCAUAAUAAAACAAGAAUUAAGUAAGAAAGAGAGGAAAAAUCCAUAGCUGAGGAAAGGAACAUCUCUCCCAUCAACAAAGUUUUUGAAAAUAUAGCUUUUAUUUAAAUGACAGUUACUUAGUCCAUAAAGCUGGUUGUUGCAGGGAAGUGGAGCUUUGCAUCAUGGUUUUGAUUUUGAAACCAAAGUAUCUUAUUGCAGGGCAAUCGGGGCAUGUCAGGUAAAACUUCAAGGCUUUUGGAUUAAGAGAUUUUAGUCAACAAAAAACUUGGGGGUUUUUUAGCUCUUCAGACUCUAUAUUGAUUAUUUUUGGACUGCGUAACAUUUUCCAACCCAUACAGUUAGUGGGUUACUGCACGUAUAAAUAGAUUUUGUAAAGUCACCGCGUGACCAUGGGCGUGCUGGGUGGAAACUGCCAGGGCAGAGAAUACUUGUCCUACCUUCCCUUCUGUAACUUCAACUGAAUUAGAAACAUGUGCCUCAAUAAAGCCCUCCUGAACACAGGUAUGUGGAUGUAUAUUUAAAAUAAAAAAGAGAGAGAAAUGGAGCAAGCAUGAAGCCAGCAAUGGAUGACUAGGGACUGAGUUGGACAGAUUCGCUAUUCCUCCGUGGAGUUUUGUAGCACUUUUUGAAUGCCACAUCCCAUGUCAGUGAGAUCUUAAAUUAAUUUAAGCACUGCUUGGGAAAAGGAUUUGGAAGCUUGGAGAUGGGUUUGCAGAUGUGGAGAAGCUGUGAAGUGCAGCAGGUGGAAGGAUGAGGACAGAAGCUAUGAAAUUGUAUCAGAGGGAAGGAGAAACCAGAUUUCAUUUAUUCUGUUACCCUUGGACAAACUCAUUAGAAGUCUGACAUCUGGUACAGAGGUUGGUAAGUGACAAAUUUUACAUCAAAAGUAGUAGGUUAGCAAUUUCUCACCUAAGUUCCUCUGAAACUUCAGCAUAGCUACCACCAGGUCUUGGAGUUGGUGACUGCUCCAGCAAUGCCAGUUCAAGCACCAUUUGGUAACUUCCAUGGUUCAUUUUGUGCCAUUUUCCUCCCGUUGCAAAUGUAUUUAUGCUGCAUCCACCUUAUUAUCAGAAAGUGCUUCUAUCACUCUGGGGACAUCUGCAUGCAGAGCAUGGCAUGCCAAGCAUUUAGAGGGUUAGGGCUAUUACAAGAAGAUCUAGAACACUCCAAUAAGUAAAUAACUAAUUAAAAAAAUAAUAAAAUAAACAUUAGAUCUUAUGACAACAAAAACGUCAAACUUGUUUCAAAACCAUUUCUUCCAGAGGGCAAAUGCCUUUCUUGCCCCUACAGCAAAAUGCUUUCAGCCACUCAAAUUGGGAAGGUGGUGCAAGAAACAGCAUGAUCUGGGAAACGGAGUCCCAGGAAAGGCUUUGGUGUCCUCCCGAACCAGUCAGUGCACAGCAUGGCCUCCUGUGUCCUGGCGGGACUAGGUACCCUGGGGACCCUGCGGCCCUGCUCCCUGUGUGACUGCUGCACCUCUGAGGCCUCCGUGCUGGGGCUGGAGUGCCUCAGGUUUGGACAUUGUGCUUUCCAACACCACAGCACCUGUGUGUGUCCCCAGCCUUUCCCACCAAAAUGCUUUAUGAGCUAAAUAUUUCAUCGACUGCCUGGUGGUAGUCAUUUCAAAUGGAUGCUCCGCACUUAAAAAGACCGACUGCUUUGCUUGAGCCAGACAUAAUAAGCUGUCUUGCAUACUCCACAGCUUAUAAAAUAUUAAAUAUGUUUUGGCACCCAGAAAUAAAUAUCUGCUCAAAAUUCUCAUCACACCUAUCUCCCUCUCCUUAACUCCCUGUCCCCCCCUGCUUUACACUGAAGUGCUGCUGCUCAGACUAAAUGGUUUGUUGUCAAGUCAUGACACGGGGAGGCGAGCGCUGCACCAGUGCCGUAAGGUUAUUGUCAGUUGGGAUGUAACAAAGUGAUCCAGUCGGUCACUAGUGAUGUACUUGCAGCCUGUGAAAUGUCUGCCCCAUGGCUCAAAGUGGCUCAGUGGGAACUGCAUUCACUUAAAAACUGGAGUUCAAAGUGGAGCUGAGUUAGAAAGCAGGCUAGAAUAAAAAAGAGCACAGUAGUCAUAAACUGCUACAAAGAUAUUCAUAAUUUUGUUACGAAAUUCUUAUUUUUAAAGCGUAUAUCGUUUAAAAAUCACUGUUGUAACAAUACCACUGUGUUAAUGCAAGGCAACCAUGCCUUUCCAGUACUCUGUCAUGUUUUAAUUCCCAGGGCUAUGAUUUUAGUUUAUUUGCUCUUCUACCCAGCCAGGGCUGAACUAAAACAGUAAUAAAAGAUCUGACUGAAAUCCACCCAAGGCAGUGGGUCCCAAGUCAAAGCUCCUUGAAAUCAAAGGAUAUAACACUGCCAGCUCUAAGAGGCUUUGGAUCAAGCUCCUAAAACCCGCUCCUGCAAACACUUAAAUACACGUGCUUAGCUCCCAUCUGGGGAACUCAUCACUUAAAAAUCGCAUGUGUGAGCAGCCAGAGCUGAUGUUGGUACCUGAGGUUGCCUCCCCUGGGAAGUGCUGCUGCGGGGAAGCUCGAGGUUGCCCCCCUGCCUGCACCCCAGCCCCAGAAUUUCUCCCGUCCCUCUCUAAGGGCAGCGUGGUUCCCAUUAGUGCUUUGGUGAAAUGAUGCAGCAAAUGCAGCGUGUGCGAUCCCUGUGCACGGCACUUGCCAGCUGAAUGCUUCCUCCAGGAAUUAGUAAAAUCUGUAUAUUUUUUUAUUCACUGAUGGACUAUUUGCAAGUAAUGAGUGUAAUAUUGCGUGCUCUUGUCAAGUGGUCGCAGCAGCUGUAGGCUGUGAUCCUUUUGUGUUAGGUACUGGAUUUUGUUUGUGGAGGUGCACGGGGGGCUGCCCAGCACUCUGGGCUGGAGAGGGGGGCUUUGUUUUUGCUGCUCGUGUAUUUUUCUGUGCCCAUCCAGGCCCUGGCUGUCCAGCUCUGCGGAGCCUCCCCGGGACUUGGUAACAGCCAUGCAAUGGACUAACUGUGACCCAGCGGCUAUACUUAUAAUAGCAUUUUUCUUUAUUAAUAUUACCAGCGUAGUGUUUUAUUUGGCUCUGAUAACAUUGCAAUAAAUUCCUCAGCUGGCCCCUGACUAACUGGAAAUACAUUAGAAACCUACUUGACAAUAAAACAGUUGCCUAAAUAUGGAGGAAGACUUUGCCGCAGGUCAGCACAGGCAUUUAAAGCCAGUUGUACUCAGCCCCACAGCCCCCCGGCUUUUAGCCUCUCACUGCAGGAGUAAACCGGGGCUCAGCAGGAGCCUCGCAUCCCGAAGCACUGAGCCUGUCCCUGCCAGGACCGGGAGACCCCUGCCAGUCCUGGGGUGCUGGUUUCCAGCCCCAGGCAGGCGUGAGCUCCAGGGUGACCUCGCAGAGGUGACACCCAGGGUGUGCACUUGUGCUUUUUGCAGCAGCUUUGAUGUCAGGACUCCCCAAAGGCAGGAACGCUUUACCUGAGAUCUCUGUUCAGCCUCAGUUGAGAAAUAUUCUUUUCAUUUGUGGCAUCACUUUUAUUUUAGAAAUAUUAAAAAUGUUACUUUAGUUCAGGUUCUUCAUUCAGGAAGCUUUCUUUUAGGGUGGGGGCAUUUUUUUUAACGGUUUGGUAUAAUUAAUAUUUUUCUGUAGUUGUGAUUUGAUGCUGUCUGGCAGGAUAAAAUAGGAGAUGCAUCACCCAGGCCUCACCCCCAGCCCUUUCCACAGUUGUCUUCACUUAAUCCUCACCAGUACCGAGUCAUUCACCGUUCUGUGGCACGUUGGUGUUGUACGCAAGGGCUGAGCCGAACCCGCGAUUCUGACAGCGAGAAGCUUUCAGAGGGUGACUCUGUCCUUUAGAAACGCUUUCCCUCAUUUUAAAGACGGAGAAGCCAAUGAGAGGCGUCUCUCCUGGGAACCUGGAGGACGCGGCGUUGGUGGGACGAGGGCCUGGGUCAGACCCUGCAGGCGCCUUUGGAGGAAGGAGCAGCCCUCUCCAGGCUGACUGGCCACCGGAGUUUCAGCUCGAUGGAUGGAGGCACGCUGGUGGGAUCACGUUUGCAACGUGUUCUUCGCACUUAGACCAGCCCCAUCGUGCUGAGUCUCAGUCGUGAAGCUGGCUGUGCUGUGCUGGGGACAAGCGGGACAACUCGUUAAAAGCAGACACGUUCUGGAUUUCUUCAGAAGUAAAGAAGGGCAAAAGGAAACAUUCUGUUCUGUGAAAAUAACUGCAACUACUGGCAAGAAGCAGCAACACUGUGCAUCAAACAAGGAGACCAUUUCCAGGUCCUCAAAACAUGCUGCUGAACUGAGCUUUGCAGCUGCGUUUUCAAAUGUACCAUGGGAUGCAUCAAAUCCAAGGACGCCUUUGCAGGUUCCGAUGCUACCCAGGAUGAAAGGAUCCGGGAAGGUGACGAAGGCCACACCGGGGAGAAAUCAUCCCUGAUCGCAGCAAAGGCGGAUGAGAAAGGUCCAUCGAGCACGAUAGUGCUGGACUAUGCGCACCGACUGUCCCGGGAGAUUCUCGAUCAGGCCGUGAAACAGUGGGCAGUGACUGAGAGCAAAUACAGCGACAUCCCUUUUAUCGAAAGUGACGUGCCCUGAGCGGCGAGGACCGUCUCCACUGCGAGUGUCCUCUCUGCUGUGCAGUUUGUAUUUGGUACUAGUGCAAAUAAAGUAACAUCAGCUGUGAUUUGAGCAUAAUUUGAGCUGCUAUAUGAAUGUGUUUGCAAGAAGAGGCUGAAAAAAAUUGCCUUUUAAUCUAUAUUGCUAAGAAACUAACUGGAUUACAGUAGAAUCUCUUAAUCAAGUGUCAUUUGUUAUCAGCUGUAUGUUGAGUAUAUUCUGUCUCUGCAUGUGUUGACUGUGAUCAGAAAUUAGUGUUAAAAAGGCGAUGAGAAGAAUGUGGCUGUCCUGCAACUGUUCAGGCACUGUCACCGAGGCCCCAAAGAUGCUCAACAACAAAGCGUGGGUUAUUUUUCUGUACCGCAUAAAAAGUCAGUGGCCUGUUCGUAGGUGAAAUGAGAAGAACUCACAAUACUUGGUAAAUUUGUCCUCAUUUUGCUAAUGUGAAAUCAGGGUCUACAUGUAGCAAAGGUAACUGCUGUCAUAAAUUUUACUUUGAUGCUUUGACCUGACAACAUUGUGAUUUACAAUCACAAAAUCAUGAAGGUGAUGAGAAGCAUAUUAUAAAAGCAGUAUUCAGGGAACCACAGGGAUUGUGAUACUAUUCAGCUUCCCUUCUCAAGUGAAGCAGUGAGAAACAUGACAAUACUGUUCAACAGUGCUUUAUCAGUACCACAUGCUCUGGCUUCCCGUAAACGCAUGACGGCUCUUCUCUAAAAUCUGCAUUCAGACCAAAGCUGUUCAUUUUGGUUUGGGGUUUUGGAUUUUAUUUUUGUGUUGGGUUUGGGGGUGUUUGUUUUGUUUUUUUACUGUAACCCUGGUAAGUGUGCAAAGACUACUGAUGCUGACGAGCAAAAUGAACCUUCAGAGGCAUAACAAUGUUUUGGGACUAUUUGUUUCUUGGGAACUCUGGCUGCAUUUCACUAAAAUUCCGCCCUGACGCCCUUGGUACGGUGUGCCAGCCUUCAGGCUCUGCAGGCUUCUUCGCUUCCCCAAUGGUGAAACUCCGUGUGGCGAUGCAAAAAUGAGCGACAGAAACCCAGAGCCUGGUGCUCAAUUGGCAAAAAUAACCCUCAGGCCCAAAGCUGCAGGGCUGUGUUCUUCACCCAUUUUACAUCCACACGCUGCACCUGCUCCUCCCGGACUUGCAGCCUGAGCCACUGUCCUCGGAACUCACCUCUGAGAUAUGGAGAAAGGGAUGAGUUAGUCGUAGUCAUCUCAAAGGUAGGAUUUUGAUGACAUUUUCUACAAAGUGAACGCCUUGUGAAAGCUUGAGUUUCCAGCACUGUUUUCUGUUAUGGCCAGUUUAAAGAAUGUAGGUGUGGGGGUUUUUUUCUACAUCUAAGUGCUUUCCUUUCCAUUUUAUGUUUUCAUUUUGAUAGAAAAAUGCUUUCCAUACUGGCAAAAACUGUUACUAUUUUUGAAAGGUACGUGUAGUUCUGGUAAAUUAUAUAAAGGGUGAUUUCUGAAGCAAUGGGAAGAGGUCAUUAUUUUUAGCUUAUUCUCAGACAUGACACAGUCUAUGAAUUGGGCUGUUUUGCAAACUUUGUGACGCAAACUCAGUUAUUGGAACUUCACCUAUACAGGGAAGUGGCUGCAUCAAGAUUAAACAGUGAAAAAUGCUGCUUUGUAGCAGUGCAAGACUGCCAUUAAUUCACAAUGACCAGACUAGACCCUGCUGUUAAGACUGUUCUUGGGCUUUUGCUGGAAAAGGGAACAAAAUCUGCUUAUGCUGUACUGUCAUCUUUGAUGUAACGGAGUUCUUUGAAGCCCAUAUAUAGAGGGACGAAGGUAUUAUGGUGCAUUUAAAUUCUACUGCUAACAGUGAUGUUCCUUGAAGCUCUAACGCGUGUAAAUCAUUAGAUUAUCCCCUGCAUUUGCUCUAUCUAAAAAUACUCCAUGCCAUAUAUUAAGGUGAAUUAAAAAAAAAAGCAAAACACCAAUCAGUACAUAUUAAUUGGAUAUUAAAAAAGAUUCCUAUUCUUAUAGCUAAAAUAAAGCUUUAUUACAAAAAAAAAAAAA